CCAGGGUUGUCAGUGAUUGAAAAUAACAUACGGUGUAAAGUUAUGUAGAUCUAAUUGGAAUUUUAAAAGUAGAAAACACGUGUAGGAAAUCGUGGUAGAUAAUGCCCGCUGAUUAUGUAAGAUCUCAAAGUACACCGCCGUUGUCGUUGAUCUUGCGAUUGCCCGCUGAUUAUGUAAGAUCUCAAAGUACACCGCCGUUGUCGUUGAUCUUGCGAUUGCCCGCUGAUUAUGUAAGAUCUCAAAGUACACCGCCGUUGUCGUUGAUAUUGCGAUUGUCAUUGUUCGUAUUCAAGCAAAGUGUGAAAUUGGAUCAAAUUGAAGGUCAUGGAUUUUCAUGAAGUCAGUCUAGUUUCCACCAACAAACAUGACUUUGACCUCGAGGUGGUGUUGAGAGCUCUGCGGAUGAGCCAGCUGGGUGGAACAGAUGUUUCUAUUCCUCAUUAUUUGCAGGCUUAUGCAGAAUUGUGCAGGUUUUUCAAGCUCACUGGUCGUCUAUUUGGAUUCGUAGCGAAAGAUCUUGAAGGAAAAAUGUAUGUGAUACAAAACAAGCUGGACGACGACCACAUGCAUCUGAAUUAUACAUCGGUUAAACAAAUGGCAGCUUUUGAGAUCAACAACGCGGACCUUUCAAGCAAAUCUAAAAGUUUUGUCGGAUGCAGAGCCUUGCUGCGGCUUCACUGGGCGUUAGAAUUUAUUGUCGAGUUUAUGAAUAAAUUAAAAGACGCUUCAGACCAUGACAAAACUUCUGUCAUUGCUUCUGAAGUUUAUUCAAAAACUCUUUCACGUCACCAUCCAUGGAUAACUAGAAAAUUAGCGGCUAUGGCGGUGCACUUGCUUCCUUCGCGAAUUGAAUUGAUAUCCGUGAUGUGUAAGCAGGAUAAUCAGCAUGUCUUAAAACUACUUGGCGAAGUAGUUAUCGAAGGAAAACGGGUUUAUGAUAUGGUUGAAUCAAUUCUUUAUAACAACCAUUUAUUGCAUAUUCCGUGACAACUCAGUCAUGCUAUUUAAUUACUAUUAUUUAGAUAUAGCUAAUGAAUUCUGAUGAAAGCAUCAGAUAGCGAUAGCAGUUGACGUUAUGGUUGUUGUAUGCUCAAACGCGUUGUGCUCACAUUUAUGAAAGUUCAUAUUGAGUUAAUAAAAUAACCUGGCUGUACUGCCAUAUUUACCCAAAAAAUUAUACAUGCAAAUGAUGCUUCAUCACUUAUUUUCACUGGACAUCCUCUCCAUAAUUAAUGUUUAAGGAGCGUAUAGACGUUAUUUCCCCCUUUUUUAAUAGAUGUGUAUUCCCACUUUCAAUUUAAUUUUCGUUAUGAAAAUACAUAUUAUAAGAACAAUUUGUCGAUACUGGGUUUCAGUGGGAUUCUAAACGUUUCCCGCAAAAUCCCGUACUUUUUAAAAAGUUUAUAAACACUUUGUAGAAUAGUGACGUUAAUAGUACGUAGCGAUCGCAUACAAGCUACGGUAUUUCAUGUACAUGUUAUUUAUUAUGAUUCAAUUAAAUACUAUAUUAAGUAAUCGUGUAAAACGUACUUUUUUCAAAGAUAAACUCAACUGCAAAAACUACAGGACAUAAGUGGGAGAAUUAAUGCAUGCUGCAAACAUUACAUGCAGAAAGACCAACCUUUCGGCGAUUCUGACAAAUUCUUUGUCAGUCCUGGAAACUGAAAGAGCCACGAAAAUGCCUAACCCCACAGCAGCAUUAAAACAUCAAGUUUUCGGAAUUGUACUUCAGGGAUAGCCCCUCGCUGCGGAAUACAUUAAACUGGUGAGGCAUACAGAAUGGCAAACCUAGACGCGGAAAAAUACCAAAAGAAGAAUUGAAUCAAUUAAGGCAAUAACUUUUCAAGAGGGGGCAAGAGUUUUACUUAGUGUGAACUGCACAAACUAUGCUCCGGAAAAAAUAAGAAAACAGGGCAAAACUUUAAAAACAAAAACAGGAGAGCACAAUGUAUUGAGUCGCGUUCUGAGAAAACUGGGGUUAAUGCAUGUGCGUAAAGUAUCGUCCCAGAUUAGCCUCGUUCAUUUAAACGAAAAACGUCAUAAAAGCGGAAAGUGUCGUCCUCUGGGACGACACUUUACGCACAUGCAGUAUGCCAAGUUUUCUUAAGACGCGACUCAAUUGUUCGCAUGUAGUGCAUAUCCUGUCAAUAAGAACUACCUACCUGUUGAGUUUCAAGUUGAUACGGUAUGAUACCUCAUUUAGUUUUUUUUCGCAGUCAAUAAAAUCGGUUAAAAUUAUGAAAUAUAAUUGACAUAUUGUAUAUACAGGAUAAAAUAUGUAUGUCACUACAAUAGCUGAACAGUUGUAUUCAAGUCGUAUUUGCAAAAUAAACAAAGUUAACCUGAA